GUUACCAAGAGUCGACAUGGCCUAAACGUCAUCAAAAUGAGACGCGUUCUUGUAGUCCGCACUACCGAUUUAGACCAACUUCCAAUUCCGACACUCCAUCCUACGCUCCUUGGUUAAGUGCGCGCGUCGUAGAAAUGGAGGCAGCGUACGAGAGCGCUUGGGAGUCCUUUUUCUUGUGUGCUUGUUUAUUUUGCCGUUCUUUUUUUCUUGUUUGUGAUUUUUUUUUAUUUUCAUGCGUGUUUCGUAAUGAGUUCUUGUUUGCAAUUUGUGUGCGUGUCGAUUUGCCCCGAAGGGCUACCGUAUCAAACUGACCAAACAGAGCAAAGGUUAAAUAAAGUAACUGACCCGCGAGCAGCCUAUACGAUGCGAGUGUGUGAGCGCGUGCGUCGGGACAGAGAAUAAAUAGUUCCACUUUGCCUCCUUUGAGCCAUUUUGCAGCUUCCCGCUCGUGUACAGCGACCCAGCAUGAAGCCGUUCCUGUUCCCGCUGCUGCUACUGCUGCUGCCCCUCUGUUCAGGUUUCUUUUGCGCUUCUCGGACUCGGACGUGUUAUCGCGUGUCCCGUUCAAAGAGUUCCACCGCUUGUGUGCGUCCCCGCAGCGGAAUUUAGCAUCGACUGUUUCAGUUUGGACCCGCUGAAUAUGCAGCCGCCCGUCCUGACGUGUCGGGGUGAAGUACAGCAGGCGUGCUACACCAGAGACAACGGCGAGAAGGGCUGCGUGACGUUGGACAAGUGCUCCCGUCCCGGAUGGACGUGUUGCCACGGCUCCCUGUGCAACGCGUGAGCCCGUCGGCCAAUAAACGAGCGCGACAGGCCGCCCGCUCGUCUCACUUCUUGAUCGACGCGUAAGAGCUUCUUCCGGCUCGUCGACGUCGUUCAAAAACGUGUGGAGGCAAAAGCAUCGCGAUGAAAUGACACACGAAUCGACCAUUCAAUCCAAUAAAGCGUCACGCUCCUUAUUAUUCUGUGUUAGAGGAGUGACACGAAUGAA